AGUCGGGAUUCGAACCCGUGACCUCUGACUCCCAAGCCUGCGCCCUUUCCACUGAGGAAGGAAGGAGGUGGUGACAAGGGCCGGGGUAGGGCCAGCGGGGAGAUGAUCGUCAUCACUGGGGGAUGUUCGUCGCUUGCUGAUAUCAAGGGCAGAGGAAAAAGGAAAAGAUGAUGGCUACACUGAGCCAAGGGGUACCGGGCUCUCUGCUGAAUAUUCAAAACCUGCAGUCCUCGCUUAGCCCCCACUCACCCGACCGUGGAAGGGAAGAAGAGAAAGCGUUGGCCCCUGCUGAAGAUGAAACUCAUCCUUUUCCUAGUCCACUCCUUACAAGUCACCAAAUCAUCACACCGCAUUUUUUAAAGCGUCUCCUCCCUUUCCCUUCGUGAUUCAGAUCUCUACAAUACGAAUAAACAACCUGUAACAGAUAUUACUACCUGUAGCUCAGA